GAUAAUGUCUAUAGAACAAGAUAGGAUACCGUUUAUCCUUAGACACUCAUUAUCAUGGCACCUCUAGGACUUGUUUGUACUUGUAUGUAGCCUAUACGUGUGUGUGUGUGUGUGCACGUGUUUGUGUACAUGUGCGUGUGUGUGCGCGUGUGUGUAUAUGUGAAUGUGUGUUACUACUUGACUGACCCAAAUAGAGGCCCAGAUAUGGAUUGCACUGGGCAUACUGAGGAGUCAGGAGGCCAGCUAACCAACCAGGCAGGCAGGGGGAGGACAGGGGCACAAAUAACCACCAACCACAACACACCCAGGGAGAGCUGGGCGGACUGGUGAGGCCUUAUUCAGGAUUGGCCAUUUAUAUUUUAAUUGUUUUCAAUGGCUUUGGUGAGGACAGCCAGGCUGUACACCCAUUGAUCAAUUCAUCUAUGAUCGUGUCUUUGAUGAGCCACCUCCAAGCCAUGAGCCAUCUGAAUUAUUGGACCGUGUUGCUUGGCGGCCAUUUUUAAGCUUGGUGGCUCACUGACAGUCCAUCGAAUUUAUUGAUAUUUGCUGAGCUACCGAGGUUAGAAGGUCGGCUUAGGUGGGGGGGAGCUGUUGUAACCUUCUGAUCACAGAGCCAUUUACAACUCCCUGUCCCGCAUUCCACAUCUCUCAAGGUCAGACCCCAGCAUACCACAUCUCUCAAAGUCAGGUCACAGCAUACCACAAUCUCUCAAGGUCAGACCACAGCAUACCACAUCUCUCAAGGUCAGACCACAGCAUACCACAUCUCCCUAGGUCAGACCAAAGCAUACCACAUCUCUCAAGGUCAGACCAAAGCAUACCACAUCUCUCAAGGUCAGAC
ensembl:lncRNA